rnacentral:rRNA from 1 species
CCUGGAAACAGAUGCUAAUACCGGAUAACAACACUAGACGCAUGUCUAGAGUUUAAAAGAUGGUUCUGCUAUCACUCUUGGAUGGACCUGCGGUGCAUUAGCUAGUUGGUAAGGCAACGGCUUACCAAGGCAAUGAUGCAUAGCCGAGUUGAGAGACUGAUCGGCCACAUUGGGACUGAGACACGGCCCAAACUCCUACGGGAGGCAGCAGUC